CAAAAAUGUUAUGAUGAACCAUAACCAAUGUUGUCUUUUAGAACUUUUUACUGCCUUUGAUGUAAGCGCUCUCACCUGUACAAUUCGGUAACAUUAUUUUAACAAACCAUUAGUCCCACAGCUAAUAAGUCCGACGGCCCAUUGAUCCGAAAACACAUUAGUCCGACAACCCAAUAAUCCGACAACCCAUUACUCCGACAGAACAAUACUCUGUUGUUGUUGUUAUUGGUUUUGGUAGGCGACUUACUUAUUUAUAUAUACUCUGUAUAUAUAUAUAUUUUGUCUGUAUUAUAACAUAUAUGCUAUACCAUAUGUACAGAAUUGAUUCGAAAUCUGUAUACUAGAUAUAUAGUAUACGUAAGUACAAUUUCUGUAUAGGAAACUAUUCUGUAUAACUCAGUUAUGAAUGUUCGCGCCUUUCUGUAUAUACAAAAAUCGUUUAUGUAUUUAAAGAAUUCCAAAAAAGGAUAUACAUAAGUGUUUAUGUAUGGAUAAGGACCGUGCAGUUGCAAUAAGCAUGUGUUUAACUCCAAGGCACUGACACACAUAUCCCGCAUGAGAGUAGUUUGGUCUUUUUAGAUAAGAUUUACCUAUAAACUUAUGGCAUAUGCAGUGUCGGAAUAAUGGGAUGUCGGAUUAAUAAUAGGCUGUCGGAAUAAUUGGAUUUCGGAGUAAUGGGAUGUUGAAAUAAUGGUUGUCAGACUACCCGGAUGUCUUUAACAAUUCUUGCCAGAUUUUUUUUAUCAAACUUCUAACAUAGGAUUACAUCAGGAAUGUCUUUGACAAGUUCAAAAAUCAGUGCUGAUAAUUUAGUUUCAAAACAGUUUUAUGCCACUUGGAAACAUUUAUUAUAUAGAAAACUGCAUUGUUAUUACACUCAUUUGUACAAUUCUUGCCAGAAUGUUAUAAAAAUUAUUCCAUAGAUUUUUAAAAACCAAUGUGUUAGUCGAGAUAAUUAAUCAUGCCAAUCAUUGAUUUUUCAAAGAGUUAUACCCCUUGGGAAAAUUAGUUAUAUGAAAAUUGCUUUUUGAGCCUUUCAAUGCAUUUCACGGGUACAAAUCUUGCAGAAUACGCAUAACAUUUGCAUCAUGUGCAUAGUCUGAAACAUUCAUUACCCUAAGAAAUUUAUUAAAAGUGUUAAAGAAAAAAUAAUCAACCGUCACCAUCACAAUCAUCAUCACAAUCAUCAUCACAAUCACCAUCACCAUCAUCAUUCCCAUAACCAUCACCAUAACCGUCAAAUCACCAUCACUAUAACCAUCACCAUCAUUAUUAUCAUAACCACCACCAUAACCAUCAAAUCACCAUUACUAUCACCAUUACUAUCACUAUCACCAUAACCAUAAUCAUCACUAUCGCAGUAGCCCCCGCAGUAGCCACAGCCGACAACGAUUUGAAUAUGUAAAGUAUGCACUUAUGUACAUAUAAUCUAUUGUAGAAGUAUGGCAACCAAUUCCAGUAAUUGUGGUGUUGGUGAAAAUCUGCAAAUUAAUGAACAGUCAGUAGUAUGGUGUUCCAAAUGUGAUGAAGGACUCUGUGAAGAAUGUACAAAUCAUCACGCUGUUUCAAAUGCAUCAAAAAGCCAUGAAACCGUUUCUAUUGCCGAAUACAAAAAGUUACCGACCGAAGUCAUACACAGCGCUCAGACUUGCAAACUUCAUAAUGAGAAAUUCGAACUUUUCUGUAGAGAUCACGAUUGUCCAUGCUGUCAGAAAUGUGUGAAUUCUCACAACGAUUGUAAAAGUUUAACGGACAUAAAUGAACUCAUAAAGAACAUAAAAACCUCAAAUGCUUUUUACGAAUUCGAACAAACCCUGCUGGAAGUUGUCCAGAAUAUUAAACAACUCCGCACUAACAGGAGAGAAAAUCUAACAUUGCUAGAAAAUAAGAAGAGAGAAAUUGAAGCAGAAAUAAAACAAAGCAGGAUACAUAUAAACCACCACCUUGAUAAACUCCAGGAUGACUUGAUUAAAGAAUUAGUGAGAGUUGAACAAAAAGAAAAUAGAAAAAUAGAAAAAUUAUUGACUACUCUAAAAAAGAAGGAAUCAGAUAUCAUUGAGGUACAAGAAAACAUUGCCACUAUUAAACAGCAUGCGCCUGAACUUCAAACAUUUUUAACCAUGAAAAAUAUCGAAAAAGAUAUUGCAGUCGAAGAAACUUUUUUUCAAUCGAUUGCCACAAGUGGAUCCACAAAUCAAGUCAAUAUUUCAUUCCAGAUUAACAAGUCUUUACAGGAAAUCUCUGCCAUCGUACAGAAUUUUGGGGAAAUUAAUGUCAGUUCUGAUCCAUGUGAUUUUCCCAUCCAGAAACGGAAGGAUAGACAAGCCCAGAUUAUGGUAACCUUUCCAACCAGAAAUAUUGAUAACCUAACUCUGAAAUUACAGAAACGUAUCAAUACUGCAGGAUUGUCAAAUGUUCAUAGUUGUGCACUGCUUCCCGGCGAUAAGAUGGUAUUCUCCUGUACUAAGCAAUAUAAGAUAAAAGUAUUCAAGUCUGACGGAUCGAAAGAUUUCCAAAUUAAGAAAAUUGGUCCAACGUUUAAUGUGGUAUUUAUUGGUGAUGAUUCUAUUGCUGUAACUUCUGGCUUUGGAAAUCAGAUCAAUAUAAUCGACUUAAAGAAGCACAAACUGAAGAAAUCAAUACAAAUUGAUUCGUACAAUAGUGGAGUAGUUUACAAAGAUGGACAUUUGAUUUAUUGUGCUGGGAGUAAAGGACUACAAAUGAUCAGACUGAAUGACGAAACCAUUACAAAUGUUAGCAAUUCCGAACUCCGAGAUUAUGCGUACGUUACAGCAUUAGGUGAUAAACUGUUCUACACAGAUUAUAGAUAUCACAGGGUAACCUGCUGUGAUAACCAUGGUAUCACACUGUGGACGUUUGAGGAUUCAAGUGUUCUGAUGUCUCCAUUAGGUAUCUCUGUAGACAAUGAUGGUAACGUGUAUGUAGCAGGAAAUUAUACUCACAAUGUGGUCAUUAUCUCUCCUGAUGGACAACGCUACAGACAACUCUUAUCAAGCGAUGAUGGACUAAAAAACCCGUGGGGUCUGCAUUAUGACACAUCGACCAAUAAAUUGCUAGUUGCAAAUCGAUUCAAUGAAGCGUUUUUAUUUGACAUUAAAUGACAAUAAAAGAAGAUUGAUUUUUCCAAACUCGACUUACCGAAUUUAUUAUUUGGUAGAUCUGGAUUACUAACAAGGUUUUAAAUGAAUUAUUGCAUUACGUGUGAUUUGUUUUUUACAUUUCGUUGUCAGCUAAUUGUUGACUUAUGAGCUUCAAUGUCUCUAUAGUAUAUUUUGUCUCUCCUUUUGAGACCGGUAUAAAUAUGUGCAUGUUUCUUAUCGGUAUCAAUAUUCAUUCCUGUAUGGAAAAGUUGCAAUGAUUUAAAUGAGAUUGCCAUGAAUUCCAAAGAUUUUUGGAUUGAAAAAAAAAUACAUGGUAGUGGUUCAAAGUAGAGAAAAACAGGAUUUGGGUUAUCCAUCCAUCACACAAAAUCAAUACAUGCAUGUAGAAAACAAAACUAUUACAAAUCAAAGAAACAACAUUUCUUCAUCGCAAAGUCAUAAUGUUUCCUUCAACAUGGAACAACAACAAAUUUUUCACCUCGCUGCAAGUUAAAGACGUCCCCUAGUGCAGCUUUACUGGAAUUGUUUGCAGAAUGAACUUUAUAAGAUAUAACACCACAAAAUUGGCAUGGUCGAAUUAACAUAUUGGAGAAUAGUAUACGUAUUUAAAACAAAACAGGGUGUAUACUCAUACAGUACAUACACUUGUAGUCUUAUUAUUUAAUAUGCAUGAAGAAUUGAAGGUUCGGGCUAAUUAUCAAUGAGACAAGAACCCAACGACAAAGUAAAUCAAUUCAAUAUAAAUGAAGAAAAAGGCGAUUUCUACUGAACCUUUACUUGCAUUAAACAAAGAUUGUCGCUUAGUCAUUAUAACGCUACCAAUGAUAAUUAUGAGGUAAUAGCACAGAAAAUAGAGGAAUAUGCGAAUUAUUUUCGCUAUGGUGACCUGUACCAACCGGAACGAAUAUUUGUUUACGAGGAGAUAUUUAUCAAGAGCCAUCGCAAAGUUUGUUUCUCGUGGCGUUAGGCUGUAUAUUUAGGCAUACCGGUAUGCGCUUAGAUUUUCACUUCCCAUGAUGGCUAUACUGGUAAUGAGAAAUGGAAGAUUAAAUCCUCGAAAGGAAUAUGUGAGGUAUAAUUGGUUAAGUGACCCUUCCGGGAGCGGUCUUUUUUAUUUAUUGAAAUAGCUAGAGGAAUCUAUCCGAGAACAACCAAUAAGUUACAAUCUUUCUCCAGGUGGAAUGUUGUAGCCAUUUGGACAUGGCAGAUUGUUUU
rnacentral:lncRNA from 1 species